UAAUGGCUUUUCUAAAUACUACAGUAUGUCCUUAACAGAAAAGAAUUAUGGUCCACUUUAAUUAAUGUUGCAUUAUAUUUCAAAUAAACAACUUUUCAAAUACACAACUUUCAACUUCAUUUAUCUCUUCUCCAUCCUUUGUGCUUUUCUCAUCAGAUACUGUAUUUCUACUUAAAUUAGAAGACAUAAAACAUCAGGUUGAUGUAGUAUCUUUUUAAAAAUUAAAAAUUAAUGAAAAAAUAUAUUCUAUUUUCCCACAUACUUACCAUUUCAAUAAACUUUAUCUGUUCUUAUGAACCUGAUUUUCCAAACAGUGUUUUUGCAGAUAUUUAAGAGAGCCUGGCAGAGAGUUUGUAGAAACUUAAUGACUGCUAAUAAGAAAAUACUAAGCAAAUACAUAGGCAAAAGCAUUUGCUAACUCCAGCAAACUAAAAGGGUUAAACAGAGAUUAAAUGCAAUGGAAGCAUUCAUGUAGCUCAGCUGGGAACAGUACUACCUUAACAUUAUUAUAAAUACUGAACAUCACCAUAGCCAAAAGUUGUGGUUUCAUACUCUUAUUUAACCUUUUCUUGGAUUUAUGUCUAAACCACCCCCCCCCCCAAAAAAAAAGCUGACGAAAAAGAAGAAAUUAAAUUAAAAAUCAAGAAAUAGCCAGAUCAUAAAUUUGGAGUUUGGAAAGAGAAAGGUAAGUUCUAAAGGGAAGAUUUGAGGGAUUGCAGGAUUUGCCUCUGGGAAUCAGAAAGAAACAGUAAUGUAGGAGGCCACUCUUUCACAAAAUAAGUUUAGUUUUACUGCCUGACUUUUUAUUACAUAGAUUUACUCUUUAGAGAAACAAAAGUUAAGAUAAUGAGACCAUCCCAGAGAGAGUGAAAGCAUGGGUACACAAGAAACAGGCCAUGGGCAGAUGGGUUAUGUGAGAUUUCUAAAUAUGCACAGCUGGAUGGUAUUCAAUACAGUAAGUGAUAUCCUUAAAUAGAAGAAGGGACAGUUACUCAGGCCUAUUUUCACAGAAACAAAGAAGUAAGAUCUGAGCAGAUGAUGGUGCAUUUACCAUGAAAUGAAUUAAACUUCAGCUUCAGAGUCCAUCAUUGCAUAGAUGUUUGGUGAGAGAUUCUAGUAAUGCAAAUAUAUAUUUACAUGUUUCCAUAAAAUAUGCAAAAUCAGAUAUUUUGACUGCAGUUGAUUAAGACUGCUCCCACUUAACACUCCAAAUUUUUCUGUGUCACUCCCCAGUGUUUGAAGUAACCACAAGCAUUUUGAGGCUCCAAAUAGGGAUGCUGAGUUUGGAAUGUAUAUUUCUAUGAAAUCUAUGUACAUGAGUGAUAGAAAUGUCCAUGUAGAGUUAUUCCUAUAUGUUCUGGUAUUAUAUAGCAUGGCUUCUUGGAAUAAUCCUGUCCACCAUUCCAAC
rnacentral:lncRNA from 1 species